UGCCAGCCGCCGCGGUAAUACAUAGGGUGCAAGCGUUAUCCGGAAUUAUUGGGCGUAAAGCGUUCGUAGGCUGUUUUUCAAGUCUAACGUUAAAUUUUGGGGCUCAACCCCAUUUCGCGUUGGAUACUGUCAAACUAGAGUUAUGUAGAGGUUAAUAGAACUCCAUGUGAAGCGGUGGAAUGCGUAGAUAUAUGGAAGAAUACCAAUUGGCGAAGGCAAUUAACUGGGCAUUAACUGACGCUGAGGGACGAAAGUGUGGGGAGCAAACAGGAUUAGAUA
rnacentral:rRNA from 1 species